AGGCAAACCGACUAUAGCUUCUUCUCCAGGACAGAAGGUCUAGAAUGUGUAGAGGCGGCGAAGGGGGCGGGCCACUAGGAGGCAGCGGCGGAGAUGACGGUGGUGGUGGUGGCGGCGGCGGCGAUGACGGCGGGGGCGACGGCCAGCUCGGAGGCUGCAGAGGUUAAGGUUGGGCGUGAUGGCUCACACCUGUAAUCCAGGCACUUUGGGAGGCCAAGGUGGGCAGAUCACGAGGUCAAGAGAUCGAGACCACUCUGGCUAACAUGGUGAAACCCCAUCUUUACUGAAAAUACAAAAAGCCAGCUGUGGUGGCAUGCACCUGUAAUUCCAGCUACUCAGGAGGCUAAGGCAGGAGAAUCACUUCAACUUGGAGGCGGAGGAUCUUGCCACUGCACUCAUGAACUACAGAGGAAAUAAAAACUCCCAUGUGAAGAUGCACUCCCUGCCUAUACUAGAAGAAAAGAAACAUAAUCAAGAGAAUUCUGUACAAGCAGAUCAUGUUAAAAUCAUUCUCAUUUUUGUUUUAUCUCCCACAACAUUUACUUUCCCACAAUUGCCUUUGUUUAGCCUAAUAUAAAAGCAUUUAGAAAAAUAAAACUAAAAAAAAAUUUAAAGCAUUUAGGUUUUGCUACUUCUUUGGGUCCUUAUUUCUUUAUGAGGGUCCUGUGUCACAUAAAACAUAUAAAUUUGUAUGCUUUUCUCCUGUUAAUCUGUUUUAUGUCCAUUUCAUUCUGAAGCCCAACCAAAAAUAUAAAAUGAUAGAGAUAAAAUUUUGCCUCCUCUACAGCUGUUGAAAUUAGAUUUUCUAACCACAUGACUUAGCUUAAAGUGAAUUCUUUCAGUUUCCAUACAAGUGCCUAUUGGUAGGUUAGGUAUUGUGAGAUACUGGCCCAACAAACCAGCCAAACCUACCUGAACAUCUGACCUCCAGAACUGGGGGAUGAUAAAUAAAUGUUUACUAAGCUAAAAAGUUUAUGUUAAUGUAUUAUAUAGCAAUAGAAAAUUAAUACACAUGCUUUCAAAAACUGUAAAUAACUUUGCUUUUGUGAUUAUUAAACUUCUAGUUCAUUCAAGGGGCAAAAGUCAUAUGCCUCAUCAGUUCUAGGAAAUAAGGUGAAUAAGAUUGUUCUCUGAAAUCAAAAUUGUGAAAUAAAGAGAAAGAUGCCCAAUUUGCCUUAAAUCAAAUGUGGAUUAUAAAUUUUCAGACAAAAUGCUACUUUAAUAAAACUAUGAAAUCCUUUUCUCAGAGAAGAAAAAAAGCUUGCACUCAUAGGCAAAACACUUUGUGUGGAAUAUCAAGAUUGAUUAUAAGACACCGCCUCUAACAGGACAACUCUAGUGCCCAUAGAGCAUAAACUAAAAUGGUUUAAUAUAUCACCCUAAUCAGCAAAAAAGUCGAAAUCAUUUUGCGUAAGAAGUGAAUUUCACACACAUUUUGAAGGGUCACAGGCACAAACGAAGACAACGCUCAUGAAGUCACUGCACUGAAGCAUUUCCCUGAGCCCUUUGUAAGUAUCUGGCAAACUUUGCUGUAUUAUCUCCAAAUGUUAGAGCCUGUUGGAUUUUUGUUUUGAAUUGUUUAACUAUGUCUCUUUUAUCUGAGUAUAAACUAAGCUUCUGAUUACUUGUUAUAAUGGGUAGCUUAUUUUAAAGUAAGUAUGAGUUAGUAAGAUUGCCUCACCUAUCUAAUAUCUGGGAAGGGAUACCUCAUAUCAUAUCUUUUAAAUUUUAUUCUAAAUCUUUUUUAGCUUUAC
ensembl:lncRNA